rnacentral:rRNA from 1 species
UACGUAGGGGGCAAGCGUUGUCCGGAAUCAUUGGGCGUAAAGAGCGCGUAGGCGGCCCUGUAAGUCCGCUGUGAAAGUCAAGGGCUCAACCCUUGAAUGCCGGUGGAUACUGCAGGGCUAGAGUCCGGAAGAGGCGAGUGGAAUUCCUGGUGUAGCGGUGAAAUGCGCAGAUAUCAGGAGGAACACCGAUGGCGAAGGCAGCUCGCUGGGACGGUACUGACGCUGAGGCGCGAAAGCUAGGGGAGCGAACUGG